UAGGGAAUCUUCCACAAUGGACGCAAGUCUGAUGGAGCAACGCCGCGUGAGUGAAGAAGGGUUUCGGCUCGUAAAGCUCUGUUGUUAAAGAAGAACGUGGGUAAGAGUAACUGUUUACCCAGUGACGGUAUUUAACCAGAAAGCCACGGCUAACUACGUGC
rnacentral:rRNA from 1 species